AAAUCCCAAAAACAGUACUAACGCUAUUACCAACCACAACUAUGAUCAUUCCUAGACAACCACAACCAAGAUGAGUACCAUAGUUACUAAAUAAAAAAACAAUUUCGAGUUUAGAAAUGGAAAUAGGCCAAAAUAGAUGAAGUACAUCAAAUUUUGACAUCAAAAUGGGUCAAAUCUAGAACACAGUACAACUAAUCAUGAAUAUGAAGCUGCAUUGCUAUUGGCAUUCGACCCAUGUUAAUUCUGACCACCGGCACAUAAUUCUUCUCAGCCAAAUGUCCGAGGAUUGUCUUCAGUUUUUGUUAAGUUUAUCCUCCAUAUCAUAAGCUUUAAUUAGAGAUCUUCAAGUCCAUUGAUAUCCUACACCAACAAGUAUAUAAUCAUGUCAUAUAUCCAUUAGAAUAAUAAAAAUAAAUAAAUAAAUAAAUAAAACUCUAUCAACUAUCUAAAACACUUGUUCCAGAGGACAACUUAGCUAAUUCUAAUUUUACAUUACAAUAUAUAAAGCUGUAUUGCAUGGCUAUAUAUACACUACAAAUGAUGACCGAAGGGAAAACACUUGUAUCUGGACUUGCACUUUUCUUUUUUGUAUGUUUCCCAUUAGACUUGGAUAUAUAUUCUUAUAAAUUUUUAAUCAUGGAGACUGCCCUGUAAUCUUUAGUCAAUUUCUACUUAAU
rnacentral:lncRNA from 1 species